GGCAGUGGUAGAUGGUACUCUAGCUUCAGCUAGAUGGGGUUCAACUCCCUGCAUUGUC
rnacentral:sRNA from 1 species